UUCUGCAGGCUGUACAAGAAGCAUGGUGCCAGCAUCUGCCCCUGGGGAGGGCCUCAGGAAGCACUUACUCCUGGUGGGAGGCAAGGGGAGCCAGCAUGUCACAUGGGUUUGCACUACCUUUAUGAGCUGUAACACUCACCACGAAGGUCUGCGGCUUCACGCCUGAAGUCAGCGAGACCACGAACCCACCAGAAGGAAGAAACUCUGGACACAUCUGAACAUCUGAAGGAACAAACUCCUGACACACCAUCUUUAAGAGCUGUAACACUCACCGUGAAGGUCCAUGGCUUCCUUUUGAAGUCAUCGAGACCAAGAACUGGGCACCUCUUGGUGACCACUAAGGGACUAUCACCUAUGGCCAAGCGGAUCGAGGCCAUCAAGCUACAGAUGGUCUUACAAAUGGAACCCUAAAUGAGCUCAACUAACAAUUCUACCGAGGACCCCUGGACUGACCUGCUGGCUCUUUGACUGGCCUGAAGAAUUCCCAUCUGGAGGACACUACAACUGCAGGGCCCCCUUUUCACCCCUAUUCAGCAGGAAGUAGCUAGAGUGCUCAUCACCCAAUUCCCAACAGCAGUUGUGGUGUCCUGUUUAGAGGGGAGAUUGAGAGAUGAAGCCAGCUGGACUUACUGGGUUGAGCAAGGACUUGGAGAACUUUUCUGUCUAGAUAGAGGACUGUAAAUGCACCAAUCAGUGCUCUGUUUCUAGCUAAAGGAUUGUAAAUGCACCAAUCAGUGCUCUGUGUCUAGCUAAAGGAUUGUAAAUGCACCAAUCAGCACUCUGUAAAAACCCACUAAUCAGCACUCUGUGUCUAGCUAAAGGAUUGUAAAUACAUCAAUCAGCAUUCUGUAAAAAUGCACCAAUCAGUGCUCUGUGUCUAGCUAAAGGGUUGUAAACGCAGCAAUCAGCACUCUGUAAAAUGGACCAAUCAGCAGGACAUGGGUGGGGACAAAUAAGGGAAUAAAAGCUGGCUACCCAAGCCAGCAGCAGCAACCCACUUGGUUCCCCUUCCAUGCUGUGGAAGCUUUGUUCUUUUGCUCUUCACAAUAAAUCUUGCUGCUGCUCACUCUUUGGGUCCGCACUACCUUUUUGAGCUGUAACACUCACCGUGAGGGUCUGCAGCUUCACUCCUGAAGUCAGCGAGACCACGAACCCAACAGAAGGAAGAAGCUCUGGACAUAUCUGAAUAUGUGAAGGAAGCAACUCCAGACACACCAUCUUUAAUAGUUGUAACACUCACCACAAAGGUCCGCGGCUUCAUUCUUGAAGUCAGCAAGACCAAGAACUCACCAGAAUGAAUAACUUCCGGACACAAAAUCUCUCUCCCCACUCCCAGUCCACAAUAAUUAUUCAGCUGAUUCCUAUUUUUAUAGAUUUGCCUUUUCCAGAAUGUCAUAUAAGGUGCUCAUACAGGAUGUAAUCUUUUGUGUCUGGAUUCGUUCACCAAGCAUGAUGCUUGUAUUAGAAAUUCGUUCCCUUUUAUUGCUGAAUAGUAUUUUAUUGUGCUAAAAUAUAACAAUUUGCCAUUUAUCAGUUAAUAAACAUUUGACUUAUUUUC